rnacentral:misc_RNA from 1 species
GGCCGAUGCAGCGAAACGUUAGGGAGAGGGACUCAAGCAGCGAAAUGGGUUCCAAACCAUACUCUAUCUACCGCAAAUGCGUGAUAAUCGUGAGAUUCUAAGCUAAGGUUUUCAACGCCUUCUUGCUAGCCUAUUAGCGGUUUUGAAGCUAUUUAUUCGCCCCUCUGAAUGCAAGUUGUCUCGAGAAGAUCCGCUACGCCCCUAUUCUCAUUCUCUUAGCCCUUCUUCGGCUUCUUCUUAGCGUCAGGCAGCGAAAUUGAAACCUGCUCCCUAAAAACCAAUACCUACAGCAGCACCCGAUCCCAUUCAAGCAAUUGUAGCAGCUCCA